UAGGGAAUCUUCCGCAAUGGACGCAAGUCUGACGGAGCAACGCCGCGUGAGUGAAGAAGGAUUUCGGUUCGUAAAACUCUGUUGUUAGAGAAGAACAGCGCAUAGAGUAACUGUUAUGCGUGUGACGGUAUCUAACCAGAAAGCCACGGCUAACUACGUGCCAGCAGCCGCGGUAAUACGUAGGUGGCAAGCGUUGUCCGGAUUUAUUGGGCGUAAAGCGAGCGCAGGCGGUCAAUUAAGUCUGAUGUGAAAGCCCCCGGCUCAACCGGGGAGGGUCAUUGGAAACUGGUUGACUUGAGUGCAGAAGAGGAGAGUGGAAUUCCAUGUGUAGCGGUGAAUUGCGUAGAUAUAUGGAGGAACACCAGUGGCGAAGGCGACUCUCUGGUCUGUAACUGACGCUGAGGCUCGAAAGCGUGGGUAGCAAACAGG
rnacentral:rRNA from 1 species